UACAGAGGUCCCAAGCGUUGUUCGGAUUCACUGGGCGUAAAGGGUGCGUAGGCGGCCGUGUAAGUCUGUCGUGAAAUCUUCAAGCUUAACUUGGAAACUGCGUCGGAUACUACUCGGCUCGAGGAAUGGAGGGGAGACUGGAAUACUUGGUGUAGCAGUGAAAUGCGUAGAUAUCAAGUGGAACACCAGUGGCGAAGGCGAGUCUCUGGACAUUUCCUGACGCUGAGGCACGAAAGCCAGGGGAGCAAACGGG
rnacentral:rRNA from 1 species